CUUUCUUCUCGUCGGUGUUCCCGGCUGCUAUAGAGCCGGGUGAGAGAGCGAGCGCCCGUCGGCGGGUGUCGAGGGCGGGUUGCCUCGCGCUGACCCUUCCCGCCCUCCUUCUCGUCACACACCAGGUCCCCGCGGAAGCCGCGGUGUCGGCGCCAUGGCGGAGCUGACGGCUCUUGAGAGUCUCAUCGAGAUGGGCUUCCCCAGGGGACGCGCGGAGAAGGCUCUGGCCCUCACAGGGAACCAGGGCAUCGAGGCUGCGAUGGACUGGCUGAUGGAGCACGAAGACGACCCCGAUGUGGACGAGCCUUUAGAGACUCCCCUUGGACAUAUCCUGGGACGGGAGCCCACUUCCUCAGAGCAAGGCGGCCUUGAAGGUCCUGACUGAGGGUCCACGGUGUGAUUAUUCAGGAGGGUCCGAGGAGAAUCUGAAGGGAUAAUAAUACCGAUUGUUUGUUUGUAGGAUCUGGUUCUGCUGCCGGAGAAGGCAAACCCGCUUUGAGUGAAGAGGAAAGACAGGAACAAACUAAGAGGAUGUUGGAGCUGGUGGCCCAGAAGCAGCG
rnacentral:lncRNA from 1 species